UCACCUCAUUUGAAAAUCUUAACCUGCAUUUUCUCUGAAUAUUCAAAUAUAUAUAUAAAAAAUUAUAUAACUGAAAGAGUCUUUUCUUUUCACUUGUUUUCCUCCAUCAUAACACCAUGUUCUAACUGAGCUCAAGCGAGUGUCAGCGAUAAAAUCAAUUUGAUUGCUUUAUUUUAUAGUUGAGUGUCCAACUGUCCAUGCCAUGCAGCACAUACCUUUUACCUAAGAGCAUACUCCUCAUCCGACCCCAGCUGAAGACACCAGGGAGCUGAAAGCUGUCAUGAUGCUCAAUAGUUUUCUGUUAAAAAUGUAGGCUACAAAUGAGAGAUGGAUUCAGUGUGAAUAGAGCAUGUGAUGUAAGAUAAUGCAACAGUCGGAUGCGUCAUUCAGUUAGGACACAAUGUACGCAGCAUUAGUUGGAACUGCAGUCUAAUUACUGUUUUAGGAAUCGUAAUCCCUUUCUUUAAUUGUUACUUGAAAAAAGUAAUCAUAUUACUGUUAUGCGUUAGUGUCCAUCAGUGAUUGAGAGACAUGACUGAGUCCCUCUUCCUUGCUAAUCUGAGCUCUUUCUGUCCAACAGGACAUGCUGAGACAGCAGUUGAUGGAGGGACUGCUGAACAAACUGCAAUCUGUCAUAAACCAGCAACCACUCAAUUUGGAUUAUUUACAGUUCGUGACUCGCCAUGAACUGAUUUUGUUUGACUCGUUUUCUGAGCAGAUAGGCGGUGUAUCAGAAAUUACAGAUGCUUUAAAAAAUCUCCAUGAUGCUGUCCAGUUGGAAAUAGAUGUUAGCUAUACACCCAUUCUGGAACAAGAAGUACAAGUUGGUCUAAGAGCUGGUCAACCUAAAAUUGUAGUAGAGCAAGAAAAACUUAAGUAUCUUCUGGACACACAUCUGCCAGUCUCCUGCAUUGCAAAAUGCCUUGGUGUUUCAAGAAGAACGCUCUACAGAAGAAUGCAGGAAUUUGGUUUCUCUGUAAGAGGAUCAUACAGCACAAUGACUGAUGAGGAACUUGACACCAUAAUUUCAGGUAUUAAAAGUCAGAUGCCAAAUUCUGGAUAUCGAAUAGUUCAAGGACAUUUGGCUUCAAUGGGUCACCGCAUUCAGUGGUCAAGAAUGAUGGCCUCCAUGCAUCGUGUUGAUGCUGCAGGGAUCUUUUCACGGAUGAAAGAACUUGGAUGCAUUGUGCGAAGAAGUUAUAGUGUGCGAGGUCCUCUCUCUUUGGUCCACAUCGACACUAAUCACAAACUCAUACGGUAGAGUAAAAUAGCCUGUUAAUUCAAUUAUCUACAUAUUGAAUGUUCAGAGUAGGUGGCAUGUCCUGCAUAUCUUAAAAACAGUCAUAGUUAUAUUGUAUUUUUUCCAACUUGAACAGGUACAAUGUUGUAAUCUUCGGUGGAGUCGAUGGUUACUCAAGAAAGAUCAUGUACUUGGAUGCUGCAACAAAUAACAAAGCAGCAACUGCGUUCUCAUUCUUCAUGAGAUCAACAGAGCUCCAUGGCUUACCAUCCAGGGUAAGAGGGGGUCAGGGAGUCGAAAACCUGGACAUUGCACGCUACAUGUUUGCCACACGGGAAACAGGAAGAGCAAGCUUCAUCUCUGGAAAGAGUGUACACAAUCAGAGAAUAGAGUGACUUUGGCGUGACGUCUGGUUUGCAGUCACAAGCAAAUACCAUGAGGUCCUUCACUCACUGGAGGAAGACGGUCUACUUGAUAUCUCUGAUGUGGUACACAUAUUCGGUGUGCACUACAUCUUUGUCCCAAGACUCCGAGCCGACCUCAGCACCUUCAGUGGAGGAUGGAAUAAUCAUCCUCUACGGACAGAGGGAGGUGUCACUCCAGAACAGCUGUGGUGUAUGGGACACAUACAAAAUCUUGACGAAGGAGAGAGACUUGAGGAACUUCAAGACCCAGGCAUCGACUGGGAGAGUGCUGUAAUGCAACAGGAUUCUGCUGGAGCAGUUGUGGUCCCCGAAAUUGCAUGCCCACUAGAUGACGAAGCUCUGGAGGAA